rnacentral:rRNA from 1 species
UUUUCCUACGGGAGGCAGCAGUGGGGAAUAUUGGACAAUGGGGGAAACCCUGAUCCAGCGACGCCGCGUGAGUGAAGAAGUAUUUCGGUACGUAAAGCUCUAUCAGCAGGAAAGAAAAUGACGGUACCUGACUAAGAAGCCCCGGCUAACUACGUGCCAGCAGCCGCGGUAAUACGUAGGGGGCAAGCGUUAUCCGGAUUUACUGGGUGUAAAGGGAGCGUAGACGGCUGAGCAAGUCUGAAGGGAAAGCCCAGGGCUCAACCCUGGGACUGCUUUGGAAACUGUGGA